GGUUCUGACGUCCAGGAGACGGAGCUCGGGGAACCGGAGGUGAAGCGAUCCCAUCAGUCUCCGGCCGCCGCCACUGAUCUGAAUCUGCCUCCUUUCAAUCCCAGAACACCCCUGGGUCGUGAGUUCCUGGUUCCCAGAUGGGGGUUCUUCUGUAAGAUCUGCUCGGUUCCCUACCUGAAGGACGACGCGGCGGAGGACCGGCACUGCCGCAGCCAGGAGCACCAGGAGAACCUGCAGAAAUAUUAUCAGAAAUCUUCACGAACGGCAACACAGAACUCUCCGGGUUCUGCUUGUGACUGACGGACCGGACCGUUGCAUCCCCAGCGCCGUGACGGAGCGGCCUGCCGCCCCCGAGCAGCCGUCCCUCACCUCAGUGCUUCCAUUCCUCCGACAGCCGUCUGUACUUUUACACUCCAUUUGCUGCUAACUCCUUUUUUUGUGGGGGGAGGGGGGGUCUUUACCUAACUAUCAAAGUUGUACAAUCAUGUGAAAGUUAUGUUAUGAGAUGUUUUUCUUUGAAAAUGUUAUCAAAAUCGAGUCGUCUGGAGUUUCCUCUGACCUUUACGUUGGCCAGUGACUUUCCGUCUUUUAUUAAAGGAACGUCACAUGAAUUGUUUUUGUGUUUCU